CCCGCUCCGCCGCCGCGGGGUCCGGAGCGCCUCGGGCCGGGCGGAGCGGCGGCGGCGGGGUUACAUAGAGCCCCGGCUACACGCCCAGUGCCGUGUGUGCGGCCGGGGAGGGAAGGAUGGAUCUUGGCACUACGCGUGGAAAGAGCCGCUCAUCCGCGGGGAGGAUAUCCUUAAAAAAAAAAAAAAAAAAAAAAAAAAAAAAAAAAAAAUCACUGCGUGUUGUGGAGUCGCUGUUUCAGAGGAGAGCGGCUUAGCUUGAAAGCUGAUGCGCUGCCCUUUCGCUCCUUCAGCUGCCCUUGGAUGGGUUGUGGAAGGCGGGACUGCCAAGAGCGCUCUCUCUCCGGUCAAGGGUUACCCCAGGCUGUUGGCAUGGGCUCAGAAGCGAAAGUUACACUGGGUGAAGUGCUGGAUGCUGAGCUGGGUGCUGCUGAUGAUAAUGACAUUUCAUGCAAUCCCCAUUGUCAUUUACAGUGCAAGGAAGCAGAACAGCCCAAGAGUCCCCAUCUCAGUUCUAACUCAGGUAUUUUCAUAGAGAAAAAAGGACUUGAGAGGUCUUGUCAAGAAGCAAUGUGUCUGUAAUGUAUGAAAAGAAUUUUUAGAUGCUCUUUGCCCCCUUUUCCUUCCUGAAUAGCACAUGUAAUGAAAACUGAAAUUGAGAGAACCUUGUCAAAAAUAAACUACUCUUAAAUACUUUUC
rnacentral:lncRNA from 1 species